rnacentral:lncRNA from 1 species
GAGCCAGCCUGUCCACGGGCUCCCAGCUUCUGAUCAAUUCUCUGCAUGCAGGGAGGCACCUGCCCCUGAGGGGACAUUGCAGUUAUUGACCUGUGCUAGGGAUGAAGUAUUAGCUUUGGUUACAGACUUAAGGCCAUGUCCUCCAAUUAGCUUAGCAGCAAUAUAGCCGAACACUGAAUCUCUGCCUUUCAGUCUCCUGGAUUCUCCUCUACUGGUUCAGGGUGAUGGAAUUGGGAGUGUGCCUCCAAUUUCUCCAGAUCCUCUCUGACCUUCUCCAUCUGGCUCUGUGCCCCAGAAGGUAGACCGUGAAGGAUGUUCUCAAGCUCCCUUGCCAGCUUCUGAUUGGUGUUGGCCAACGUCCAGUCACUAGCAGGAUUUUGGUGGGUAGGAGGACAACAAGGUCAAGGAUUUCAUCCCUGCUCCCUCUCUGCUUUGGUACCAUCCCUACGGCUCCUGAAGGAGGUCACCUCUUCCACGCUUCCUGCUCUCACUGGGUUCAGGCAGAAAGAUACGUCUUGGAGAGAAACAAGAUUGAGAGCCAGGAGCAGUGGCGUGCAUUAACCAUUUUUGUGGUAGAUUCCCAGGUUUCUAUUGGAAACAGACAAACCACCUCUUCUUCUCUCUGCUCGGGAUCCUAGCACAAACGAAGCACAAGCACAGAGUGCUGGCAUGCUCUGGAUGUGACUCUCCAGGGAACAAAGGAAGAUGGACCUGGCCUGAUGUGACUUUUAUCUGAAUACUCACCUCAUUGUUGCUCUCAAAUGUGGGUUCUAACUUGUCCAUGGCUCUGUCAAGGAUGUGCAGAAGCCCAUUGGAAGCAAUGAUGUCCCCUUGUAUAAUUUUUACCUUCUUUUUGCCUCCAUGGAGUUUAAGCUUUAUUUGAUUGUCCUAAAACACCAAAGAAAGAUAAAAUAAGAUUACUAUGGUGUCCUGGAAGGAGCAAGCACUGGAGUAGAGUCAGAAGUCUUGAGUCCUUGGGCUUUGAUAUUUAUUGGCAAUGUGAUUUUGGAUAAGUCACUUAAUCUAAAGUGGGGAUGAAAGUGUCUGCUUUGUUAACCUCACAGGGUUUUCAUUAAGAUCAAAUGAUAUGAUGUGUGAAAGCACUGACAACUAUAUAUGCUAAACCUGGGCAAGGUAUUAUCAAGCUCUUCUCCAGCAGACUGCAAGCUUCAUAAGGACAAAACUAUUUAAUUUACUAUAAAUUCAUCACUCACUUUAGUGUCUUGCACAGAGAAAGCACACAAUAAAAUUAUUUGUGGAAUAAAU